GCAGGCAGAGGACUCUGUUCUCCACGUAGCUGACCCUGUCCUCCAGCUGUCACUCAGUGGAGCUGCACCUUGGCUGGCACUCGGGGUUUGUGUCCCAUCAUCCCCAGGCCUGGUUCUGCCUCCCGACAGCUUGGCAGCUUGGCAGAAGCAACCCUCGAGGUUGCCUUCAAUGUCUGCCUUCUGACCACACUGGACACACCUGGCCUCUGAGCUGGGUACCUGUUCACUCCUGGACACACCUCCUCGUGACCAACUACCUACCAGCGCCCUCCGUACCUCGGAAUCAUGUUCGACAAGUUAGAAGAAGAUUCCAGAAACCCAAAGAGGGUGAAAGUCCCUUUCUUAAUAGGACAGAGACCCUCAGAGCAGGCACAGAAAAUGUCGGUGGAGACCUGGCUCGACUCCCUUUGUGGAGUCCCCCAGCAAGGCAGCUGCCAGAGCCCACAGAAGAGACUCAGGCUUCAUCACAGUCAUCAGAUCUGAAGUCGAGGAAGAGCCGGAUAACUGUUACCUCAUUGCUCAAAAAUGGAAGCUUGGCGUCUCCAGAACGUAAGGCUGAGCUCUCAAUGAAUCUCCCACGGAGGACGCAGCAGCAGGUAGGUGCAAGGAAAGAGCACCAGGGAGCCAACGUCACAGGCCACAGACUUGUGUAGCAGAGCAAGUAGCCACGGCUUGGGUUGGGCACCUCAUCCUCACCUCCUGCUGGGGAACAAACCCUUCAGAUACUGCACUGCUGCUUCCUGAAAGGAGUGUGUUGUGAAGUUUAAACCAUAUGAAGCCUUUUCCCUGCACGACGGUGUCUGAGUUUCGCCUACCACUCGGCAUCUUGAAAUAUUUUGUCUUCUCCGUGGAAACCCACCCCCUUUUCUUUUUUGGGAAAACGCCUGGCUGACCUGACUCCCGUAACCCCCAUCUGAAACAAGUCAUGUUGGCCUGAGAACUUAUUUUGAGUACUGAUUGAUAGGAAAAUUUGUAAGUUCUUUUAAUAACCUUUAAGAUUUAUUUUUAACAUGCAAGAAAAUAUGUGAUAUCAUAGAGAUAAGGCAAAAUAAAAUUGAUCUUUACAAGAGAUGAAAAAAAUCUUGCCACCCCAUAAUGUCUGAUCAAAUAAAAUUAACUUUGACAACUGA